UCGGUACAGCUUGAUAUUUCAUUAUUUACUAUUGUUAAUAUAAGUGAUUGAAUUAAAGGAUUAUAGAAAAUAUUUUUUGGUUGUUGUAUUUAUUUUAAAUAUGAUUUGUUUUGUUAUAGUUGAUUUGUACUGUGAAGGGUAUAUUGAAAUAUUAUUAAUAUAUUUAGAAGUUGAUUUUAAUAAAUUGUAUCUUGUGUAUCAGAGUUUAUUUAGAAAAUAAGAUGAAUUAAUUGUUAAUCUCGAUUUUAGGAGAGUUAAAAAUUUAUGUUAGUUGUUGUGAAAUAAUUAUUAAUAAUAAAUAUUUUGGGGGUGAAAUGUUAGUCGUUCUUAAUGGUAUCUGGUUGUUUUAGAAAUGAAUUUAAUUCAUAUAUUGAUUUUUGUAGUUGUUUUAUUAGUGAAAUGAUUUAAGUUGAUAUAAAUAUAAUGGGGGAUAAGCUUUGUUAUAAUAUUUAUAGGUGUUAAUGAUUAUUUGAAUGUAAUGGAUUUAUAAUUAAUUAUUUGAUUUGAGGAUGUUAAAAUUUUAUUUGUUUGUUGUUAUGAUUUAUUUUUAUAUUAGGUUUUUUAUAAAAUAGUUUUAAUUAAUUAUGUAGUAAUUGUUAUAAUGAUGAAAUUAGUAUAUAUAUUUAUGUUAUGGGUAAUUUUAUGUGAAAUAUAAGGCUAAGGAAUUAGGCAAAAAAGUUUAUAGUAUUCGCCUGUUUAACAAAAACAUCUUUUCUUGAUUGUUUAGGAAAUAUGACCUGCCCACUGAAAUGUUUUAAAGGGCCGCGGUAAAUUGACCGUGCAAAGGUAGCAUAAUCAUUAGUCUUUUAAUUGGAGGCUGGAAUGAAUGGUUGGACGAAAUAUUAACUGUCUUGGUUUUAAUAGUAGAAAUUAAUUAUUAAGUUAAAAAGCUUAAAUUCAUUUUUGGGACGAGAAGACCCUAUAGAGUUUUACAUUUAAAUACGUAAUGAAUUGUUGGGUAUAAAUAAUUUAUGUAUAAGUGUUUUAUUGGGGUGAUAGGGGGAUAAAAAAAACUCCUUUUAUUAUAUGUAUAUUGAUGUAUAAAUGGUAAUAUUGAUCCAUUAAUAGUGAUUAUAAGACUAAAUUACCUUAGGGAUAACAGCGUAAUCUUUUCUGAGAGUUCUUAUCGACGAGAGGGGUUGCGACCUCGAUGUUGGAUUCAAGAUAAAUAUUAGGUGUAGAAUUUUAAUAUAUUAAGUCUGUUCGACUUUUAAAAUCUUACAUGAUCUGAGUUCAAACCGGCGUGAGCCAGGUUGGUUUCUAUCUAAAAAUAGAGGUAGUAUUUUAGUACGAAAGGACCAUAUACUGAAAAUAAUUUUUUAUUUUGAAUAAUAUUAAUUGACUACUUUGGCAGAAAAGUGCAGUGGAUUUAGACUCUAUUUA
rnacentral:rRNA from 1 species